AGUAUGAAAGGAGACUGAAGUGAACAUCAUGAGAUAAGAUUCAAGGGGGAACUGAACUCAACCAGGAAGCUAGGUAGUGCCACCUCUGCUGAUUCAUGUUUGAUAUCCAAAUUCUACUGAACUGGACUGCUGGUGUAUCUGUGAAGUGUUUCUGAGUGGAUUGAGCUGUUGCCAUUGGCCUGUGAACUGAACUGCUGAUUUCCAGACAACACAGAUGAGAGUUGCUUCAAAGAACCCUUCCUAAACAGGUGACAGUUCAUGAAAGCUCCAUUCGUGGACGUCUACGCACAACUUGAUGGUCACUCAACAGAGCCAAGAAUCUCCUCUUGACAGUGCUGUUGAUACCAUACAGCAGCAGAGGCAGACCUGAUAGAUCUUCACUUGCUGACAUCCACUUCCUAACUUGCUGCCUCACCCUUUGACAAGCAUGAUGUCCCAGCCAGAAGAGGAUGUUCAUCUACUACCCACUUCAAAGUACUGAUGUAUGCUAAGGGUUCAAUAAACAUCUGAAAAUAUUCAUCGCUGA
rnacentral:lncRNA from 1 species